rnacentral:rRNA from 1 species
AUUGAACGCUGGCGGCAGGCCUAACACAUGCAAGUCGAGCGCGCGGCGGACGGGUGAGUAAUGUAUGGGGACUGCCCGAUAGAGGGGGAGAACUCCUGGCAACGGUAGAUAAUACAGCAUACUAUCGGAUAAUCCCUAUGGGAUUAGCUAGUUGGUGGGGUAAUGGCUCACCAAGGCGACGAUCCCUAGCUGGUCUGAGAGGAUGAUCAGCCACACUGGGACUGAGACACGGUCCAGACUCCUACGGAGGCAGCAGUGGGGAAUAUUGCACAAUGGGCGCAAGCCUGAUGCAGCCAUGCCGCGUGUAUGAAGAAGGCCCUAGGGUUGUAAAGUACUUUCAGUGGGGAGGCGUUACCGACAGAAGAAGCACCGGCUAACUCCGUGCCAGCAGCCGCGGUAAUUC